UACGUAGGGGCCAAGCGUUGUCCGGAAUCAUUGGGCGUAAAGCGCGUGUAGGCGGUUCGGUAAGUCAGCUGUGAAAGUCCAGGGCUCAACCCUGGGAUGCCGGUCGAUACUGCCGGACUAGAGUUCGGAAGAGGCGAGUGGAAUUCCCGGUGUAGCGGUGAAAUGCGCAGAUAUCGGGAGGAACACCAAUGGCGAAGGCAGCUCGCUGGGACGUUACUGACGCUGAGACGCGAAAGCGUGGGGAGCAAACAGG
rnacentral:rRNA from 1 species